UCAUGUGUGGCCUAAUGGGUAAGGCGUCUGGCUUCAAAUUUGAAGAUUGAGGGUUCAAGUCCCUUUGUGGUUG